AUUGAACGCUGGCGGCAGGCCUAACACAUGCAAGUCGAGCGAGCGGCGGACGGGUGAGUAAUGUCUGGGAAACUGCCCGAUGGAGGGGGAUAACUACUGGAAACGGUAGCUAAUACCGCAUACCAUCGGAUGUGCCCAGAUGUGAUUAGCUAGUAGGUGGGGUCACGGCUCACCUAGGCGACGAUCCCUAUCUGGUCUGAGAGGAUGAACAGCCACACUGGGACUGAGACACGGUCCAGACUCCUACGGGAGGCAGCAGUGGGGAAUAUUGCACAAUGGGCGCAAGCCUGAUGCAGCCAUGCCGCGUGUAUGAAGAAGGCCUUCGGGUUGUAAAGCACUUUCAGCGGGGAGGCGUUACCGGCAGAAGAAGCACCGGCUAACUCCGUGUCAGCAGCCGCGGUAAUAC
rnacentral:rRNA from 1 species